CGCUGGGCGCCCGCGCGGGAGGCGCCAGUACCGGGCAGAGCCCAUCGCUCCUCGCCCCCAGCCCACUUCGGAGAGGAAGGCGGCGGCGGGGAGGGGAGAGCUGAGCCCACACCUGGAGAGGCGGGCGACUUUGCCCGGUGAUGUGGUCCUGCCUCGGCGCGAAGGGACCCGCUGACCUUUCGCGGCCUCGGAGCGCGCGAUACCUGGUUUAAUUCCCAUCCCAACUCUGCAGCGAGAACACUAUUGACUCCGGCUUUACAGAUGGGGAAACUGAGGCUCAGAAAAGAGCCUUCCCUAAAGCCACCGACUAACACGUGGGAACGCCGACUGGGGACCUAUUGCUGUUUACCAGAGUAACUGCCUACUGGGGAAGAAGAAAUACUCAAACUUCGGAGGGAGAUUGGAUACAGAUUCUGAGCUGACACUCAUUCGGGGAGUCACCGCACUAUCAUCAGAAAAGAGGGUCUGGAGCAGUCAGCUUUUACAUGGGAAGGACAGCAGUACACCUGUUGUCCCAGGGCUGUAUUAACUCUGAUUUAUGUCACAGUAUCAUCCUCAGGAAACUUGAACAUGCUUGUUCCACAUAUGGAUGAUCUUUUCCUAAGUAGACCUGGUGUACUGGAAGUGGUAAUGACUCUGGAUGCCCAGGGAAGCCUUAUAGGCACCAGAAGCUGGAAGCAAGUCCUACAGAGAUUCAGGGGGCUGCAACUUUGGUGAAGUUUUAGGGGUCUCAUGAUCUAGAGUAUGCUGGAAGGUUCCCUCUGAGGUAAAGGCAAGUUAUUCACUUUAUAGUCCCUACUGCAGAGACAGAGCUACACACUCGAUGAAACUCUGGAUUUUGGAGGUAACAUAUGUCUCACUUGGGAAUAGUGCCCCAGUCCAUUUAGCAAGUUUUUUGGAAGGCUGACAGGUUUGAGUGGGGCUCAGAAGAUGGGAGAGUUCUGCAGCAGGUUUAGGUAUGAAUGCAAGCUUCUCUGGCUGAUCAGGGAACUGGAGGAAAUAAGACAGGAAGAUUGGAGACAGAGAGGCAUGCGUGUGAAUCUUGGGAGUGGGCACUGUGUGUGAAUCUUGCAUCUCAAGUCAAUGCUAAACAGAUGUCAUCUCUAGCAGAAGGGACACUGAAUGAAUGGGUGUACUGGGUGACCCUUUCUGUGGAGGUCAGCCUCAGUGCUAGGCCACCUCAGUGUUUACAGGGGUCCAACUGUACAGUCUCCCUCUCACCAAGGCUGAUCUAGCUGCUUCUGUUGCUGAAUUUCUGACUGAUGCCCAGCCCUUGAUAUAGCACCAUCCCUUGAGAAGACACCAUCCUUUGGGACUGGUGUGUAUUUGGACUGGUGUGUAUUUAAUGGGAGCUGUCAAGAGAUUGGAAUGUGCAAUUAAAAAGGACUUAGGAUUUUGGUUCUGGAAUAAGAUGAAUAGACUCCAUUUCCCCUGCUCCUCUAUCCUAAAAACAAAUAAAUACCCUGGAAAUUAUUCAACAAAUGCUACAAGGACUCUGAAAGAUGGGCGAAAGAAGGUGGACUGGCCAGAGACCUCAUGACUGGAGGAAGGACCAUGUGGGUCUGCCCUUGUCUAAACCCACCCAGAAGCUAGAAGACAACAGGGAAUUGUACUUCCCUUCGAUACAGAGCAGAGGAAGGAAAAGUCAGGUUGUGAAUUUGAAAGAAAACAGGCAAAUGACCAGGACACCUUUCAAAACCUCAUUCAAGCUCAUUUCCUGGAAGCCGCAUCACGA